rnacentral:rRNA from 1 species
GCUCUUUUGUAGGGGAAGAUAAUGACUGUACCCUAAGAAUAAGGUCCGGCUAACUUCGUGCCAGCAGCCGCGGUAAUACGAAGGGACCUAGCGUAGUUCGGAAUUACUGGGCGUAAAGCGCGCGUAGGCCGUUGAGUUAGUUAAUUGUGAAAUCCCAAAGCUUAACUUUGGAACUGCAAUUAAAACUGCUCGACUAGAGUUUGAUAGAGGAAAGCGGAAUACAUAGUGUAGAGGUGAAAUUCGUAGAUAUUAUGUAGAACACCAGUUGCGAAGGCGGCUUUCUGGAUCAACACUGACGCUGAGGCGCGAAAGUAUGGGUAGCAAAGAGGAUUAGAUACCCUCGUAGUCCAUACCAUAAACGAUGAUUGCUAGAUGUUGGAAAUUUAUUUUCAGUAUCGCAGCU